rnacentral:rRNA from 1 species
CAACGAGUUUCUAAAAAAAAACUUAUUUGCAACUAUGUUUUUUUAACAAAUCUCUUUUUUCCUUGGUCACACCGGGACGAGCAGACGGAACCGCCACGGCACGGGAUUCCUUCUCCACCCAGGCCCGUCAGAACCGCCAUAAAUACCCGCCCCUUCCUCGCCUCCAAUCCCCACCGCUGCUCCAGAACGGAACGAACGAAAAAUCCCCAACCAAUCUCGUCGCCGAUCAACCCUAGGCUCGUCGAAUCCUCCUCCCCCACCGCAUAAGAUGCAGAUCUUUGUGAAGACAUUGACUGGCAAGACCAUCACCCUUGAGGUGGAGUCGUCUGACACCAUUGACAACGUCAAGGCCAAGAUCCAGGACAAGGAGGGCAUUCCCCCGGACCAGCAGCGCCUCAUCUUUGCUGGCAAGCAGCUGGAGGAUGGCCGCACCCUUGCUGACUACAACAUCCAGAAGGAGUCCACCCUUCACCUUGUCCUGCGUCUCCGUGGUGGUAUGCAGAUCUUUGUGAAGACCCUUACCGGCAAGACCAUCACUCUGGAGGUUGAGAGCUCUGACACCAUUGACAACGUCAAGGCCAAGAUCCAGGACAAGGAAGGCAUCCCCCCUGACCAGCAGCGCCUGAUCUUUGCUGGCAAGCAGCUGGAGGAUGGCCGCACCCUUGCCGACUACAACAUCCAGAAGGAGUCCACCCUCCACCUGGUGCUCCGCCUCCGUGGUGGUCAGUAAUUGCCCUGACGUUGGACCUGCUGCUGUUAGUCAUGUGUCUUGUUCGUAUUAAGUCUACCGAAUCUGGUUUGAUGGACCAUCGAGUCCCCAUGAUGUGUGAAACAGUUAUCUGGUAUGGUUUGGUAUGAAUUAAGUUUGAACCAAUAUGUUUGUUUAUUUUACUGUUGAUUUGAUAUCUCCCGGUUGAAUGAUUGCUUCCAGUUUUUAUCUAGCAAAACUAGCAGUGAUCUUACAAUAGCGGUUUUCUGUGAAUGCAUUUAAUGGGCUGUAGCUCCCAAUGUUCCCGUGAAAUCACUAGAGUUUUGCAAGUUCUAUACAUGUUUCUUCUACUUGGAUGCUGCUGUGUUCACCCUCUGUAAGCGUAGUGUUUUGUGUCUUUGCUCGUGCAAUGGAUUCCUUGAGAAAAAAAUCCUAUGAUUCUUUGAAUAAAAGUGGAUGCUUCUAGUUCAGUACUUCAAAAACACGUCUGUCUGCGGGCGCGAUUCUGUUUUCGUUUCAAAAAUGUUUUAUUUUGUAUGCUUACUGUAUGUAGUUCAACAUAGCACUUGUUGGAGGUGACUGAUGAGUGUGGGGCUAGCAACCACAAAGAUGUUCGUUUUCCUUUCUAUAGAGGUUCUACAGAUUAAAACAGAGAAGGCGUACCCUGCUCUUUGGGUGGAAACAUCGCCUGAUUUCCUUUUGAAGUUUUUAUUAGUUUAUGGUGUAAGCGUUAUCUGAGUUUAAUAAAGCUAGUCAUGAAGGUCUCC